rnacentral:misc_RNA from 1 species
GAACUAAAAGAGUUGGUUGUAAUUGGUUUCGAGGGAACAGAAAGACAGAUUUACUUUGUUAACUUUGUGAUGGAAGUAUCAACAACAUUGCAGCUUGUUGCUCUAUUUAGAUAUGGGCAUGUUCAAGAAAUGGGGCGUUGGGACUGGAAAAUUGUGAGGCAGCAACACCAUUGGAAUGAUGAGGAGAAAGCCCAAAUUCUGAACCAG